rnacentral:rRNA from 1 species
UACGUAGGUGGCAAGCGUUGUCCGGAUUUACUGGGCGUAAAGAGCGCGCAGGCGGUCGAUCAAGUCGCGUGUGAAAGCCCCCGGCUCAACUGGGGAGGGUCACGCGAUACUGAUCGACUCGAAGGCAGGAGAGGGUAGUGGAAUUCCCGGUGUAGUGGUGAAAUGCGUAGAGAUCAGGAAGAACACCGGUGGCGAAGGCGCUCUGCUAGGCCGCAACUGACACUGAGGGACGAAAGCUAGGGGAGCGAAUGGG